rnacentral:rRNA from 1 species
CCUACGGGAGGCUGCAGUAGGGAAUAUUGCUCAAUGGGGGAAACCCUGAAGCAGCAACGCCGCGUGAAGGAUGAAGGUUUUCGGAUUGUAAAGUUCUGUUGUUAGGGAAGAUAAUGACGGUAUCUAACGAAUAAGCACCGGCUAACUCCGUGCCAGCAGCCGCGGUAAUACGGAGGGGGCAAGCGUUACCCGGAAUGACUGGGCGUAAAGCGCGCGUAGGCGGUAUGGCAAGUCAGAUGUGAAAUCCUCUGGCUUAACCAUGGAACUGCAUUUGAAACUGGUAGUCUAGAGUAUGGGAGAGGUAGGUGGAAUUCUAGGUGUAGGGGUAAAAUCCGUAGAGAUCAGGAGGAACAC